CUGUUCAAAGCUAAAGAUGGACGGGAUGGUCGCUGCUUUUCAAAUCAAGCCUGGAUUUGGAGCUUUUCAUGCUGACUUCCACAUUAUAAGGGGAAUGGUCACUCCAGGGAAGGACGAAAUAUCUUGUAACAAACGUUGACAACAUGGAGGCAGCAUCCUGCAUCAUUGCUCCACCAGAAACAACCUUUCUUUUAAAUGGAAAACGGCUGGAGGAGACGACUAAGGUGUCCAUAGACAGUAUGCAGCAGCUUCCCGCCAACAUCACUAAAAUGCUCAAAUAUGGUGUGAAUGUUCUACAAGUCGUUGGACAAUUUAAUGGUCAUUAUAUUGCUGUAUUGGCAUAAUGUGCUUACUACCAUCUUUAGAGUCUCAUGGGAUAAAAGAUUAUGAUAGACCUCUUCCUUUAGCUUGUUCAGAUCUGGAAAUUGUUGAGAACUCAUCAAGAAUCUCGCUUAACUGGCCCAUCAGGUAAAUUAUCAUAUGACACAAAAAAUUUCUUAGUUCAAGUCUUGGCUUUUCUACUCUUUUUUAUAUUUAUGGAUACAUGUUUGAAUAUGAAAAUGCCAUGUAGCACGCACACUAUAUUUAUCUCCUAAUUUUCCCUAGCAGAUGAUGCUCACCUGGAGUUAAACGCAGUCCUCUUGCUACUAUUUUCUGGACCCAGUCCCACUAAUCUGAAUUAAUUAUAUGGCUAGAAUUUUUUGAGUUUUUUUCCUCUGGUGGUCGCUUGCUGAAUGCUGACAGUUGUGUCUACUUACGAACUCAAUAUCAGCCUGGGAAAAGUUGCGUAUUUUCUCCAGCUAGUCUUAAUUUAAAAGAGUCUCUUGGAUUAUAUUUGUUGCUAAUAUACGUACUUACGUUACGUAGUCACAUACACAUACAAACCGAGACAAACUCUCAUGCGCAUGGAGUGUCACUUUUCCUUUAGUCCAUCCAAAGAUAAAUGACGAAUCAUUUAAUAACUAGACUUUCAUCACUGAUCUAAAAUCAAGUUUGCUAGCUGGUUUACUUGCAUAUUGGUGAUGAUAAUUGUUUGAGCGUGCAUUUGGCGUCUGCAAGCCUGAGUGUUUCCUGAGGUUUACUUGAGCUCCUUUUUGAGACUAGCGGGACGUACAAUUAUAAUGCUACCAAUUAUUAGUGAUUAUUCUUUUUUGCAUUUCUGUUAAUAAUGUAGUGCUUGAUUGUCACUACUUGGAAAUUCAUGCAAUGGAACCUAUUUGGCAGUUCCUCACUGCAUAAAACCAGGAUGUCUUCAAGGACUAAGGAUUUAUCGAAAUGUUGAUAAGGUAACUCAUGUUUUAGAUCUCCUAGCAAUUCUUGCCAGGUCUUGAAUGAGGUAGGCGACGAGAUUGUUCCUGGAGUCGCAUCCACAAAUGGAUCCUGGAAACCAAUUGUACAAGACA